GACGAACGCUGGCGGCGCGCUUAACACAUGCAAGUCGAGCGAAGCGGCGGACGGGUGAGUAACACGUGAGUCACCUGCCUUAGACAUUGGGAUAGACUCGGGAAACCGGGAGUAAUACAAAAUGGUCUAAGAUGGACUCGCGUCCAAUUAGCUAGUUGGUGGGGUAACGGCCCACCAAGGCGACGAUGGGUAGCCGGCCUGGUAGGGUGACCGGCCACAUUGGAACUGAGAAACGGUCCAAACUCUACGGGAGGCAGCAGUGGGGAAUAUUGCACAAUGGAGGGAACUCUGAUGCAGCGACGCCGCGUGAACGAAGAAGGCUUUCGAGUCGUAAAGUUCUUUUAUAUGGGAAGCGGUACCAUAAGAAAAAGCCCCGGCUAACUACGUGCCAGCAGCCGCGGUAAUUC
rnacentral:rRNA from 1 species